ACGUGAGAAACCAACCCCGGUCUCUGGGAUAACAGUUGGAAACGACUGCUAAUACUGGAUGUCGUCGUACCCUCGCAUGGGGGGAUGACGAAAGGGUUACCGGAUCGGGACGGUCUCGCGGCCUAUCAGCUUGUUGGGGAGGUAACGGCUCACCAAGGCUUCGACGGGUAGCUGGUCUGAGAGGAUGAUCAGCCACACUGGGACUGAGACACGGCCCAGACUCCUACGGGAGGCAGCAGUGGGGAAUCUUGCGCAAUGGGCGAAAGCCUGACGCAGCAACGCUGCGUGCGGGAUGAAGGCCUUAGGGUUGUAAACCGCUUUUAACAGGAACGAAAAUGACGGUACCUGUAGAAUAAGGUGCGGCCAACUACGUGCCAGCAGCCGCGGUGACACGUAGGCACCAAGCGUUGUCCGGAUUUAUUGGGCGUAAAGAGCUCGUAGGCGGUUCAGUAAGUCGGGUGUGAAAACUCUGGGCUUAACCCAGAGACGCCACUCGAUACUACUGUGACUAGAGUUCGGUAGGG
rnacentral:rRNA from 1 species